rnacentral:lncRNA from 1 species
CGGGUUAUGGGGGUGUGGCGCACGCACACAUGCAUUGUCUGAUCAUACUCCGACUACGCUGGUGACAUGGUAGAGAAAAUCGAAUUCGAGUCGCAUUAUCUGGGCGUCAUAACCCAAGUUCUCAAACUCUGAUUAUAGUCGGACUAAGAUGUUUACAUGACCUUCAGUUGUUGGGUCUUAAUCGGAAUAAGGCGAUAAUUCGGUUUUCUUGAGUGUCAUAGAAACAUACUGCAUAACUCUCCGUGCUGAUUGGCUAUCGCAGUACGACUGAUUUCCGAUCAUUUAACUGUCGCUAAGAUCUGAAUGAAACCAGAACCUUGAACGCAGCAUGAGUUUGUGUUUUUUGUGUGUAAUUCACUUAAUUUUCAUCUAAAGCGUCUUUGAACCGACUUUACAUGGAAAUGAUUUUGUUCAUGUUUGGUGUCUACGGCUCCAAAUGUCGAUGUUUUUGUAACUGAACCUUUUUCUGUUGAUAUAAAUAGUGAUGUGAGCAUCUAUGCACAUAGAUUCUGACUGAUCUCCACCUCAAACCUUCUGACAAUCAUGGCAUUGUUGAAACUGGUGCUCCUCUUUAAUUAACUGUCAUGAAAUUUAGUUGAUUUAGUUUUCUCCUGGUUUCGUGUUUCUGUGUGUUUCUGUUCACUAUUGUUCCUGUGAAGUGUCCAACUAUAAAAUCCAAAAGGAAAAAAAACUCAAGGAGACUAACCAGGAUCCAAACAUACACUGACAUCGACCUACAGACAAACACAGACACACAAUGGACUAACCAGGACAGAGGAGAAGACAGUGACUAUAUACACAGACAGGCAAACGAGCAACAGGUGAGAAUAAAACACAGAGAAGAGGAGGGAAACAGGGUCAAAGACAAACUGAGAACUCACAAGGCUGGACUACAGGGGAACAGGAACACGAGAAAAUACACAAAACGGACCAUGAAAAAAACUAAAUGAACCAAACACGUCAUGACAUUCGGGGGUCUAUGAUUGGUCGAAGCAUAACGAUGUGACCUUCUGACCUCCUGACAGACACCGAGCAGCAGGUCCUGCUCUCUCUUUGCUCUUGUCUUGUUUUUGGGGAACUCCAUGUUUUCUCUCAGCGCUCGAUGACCCCGGCGUUGAUUCGUUCAUGUUGUGAACUUUUGCAUUGAGUAGAAAAAUAAAUGCAUGGUGCACAAACUGUGUGUGAGGCAGAGUGUACAGAGACCUGAUUCACCUCCACAUGCUGUUACCUUGGUAAAGUGGAGGGACUGUUGGCUGUACACUCAUCUCUCUCCCCCUCUCUCCCUCUCUCUCUCGGUGGGCUCCUCUCUGCCCUCGAGCCAGGGUCCGGCCUCACAGAAGGUGGGCCAUUUAGUCACAUUUCAAAGUAGCUCAGGCAGAGGAACACACUCAUUAAACAUAAUUCUUCUUCUCCUCUUUUUCCCCCCCGGCUCCCUCCCUCUCUCCUCCUCCCCCCUGCUCUCUCUCCCCCUCUCUCUCUCUCUCUCCUCUCCCCCGUUUCAAAGACCCAAAAGCCCUCAUGGUUCUCCGUCCGGAGUCCGGAGGUAGAUCACUUUAAUUCUGCUUCACAGAUCUUUUUCAAAAAGACCUGAGACCCGGAGACCUCAGAACCGGUGACCGUUUGGUGAACCCGGGCCGACCAGCCAGGACCCGGGCGCUUGUAAACACAGCCAACGUCUCACACGCUCUCAUUCCCCCCGAGCGCUUUUGUUCCCUCCCCACAAUGGCACAAGUAUUUGAUGUUGGGCGCCGCGCCGUCUUUGAGCUCGCAUGUGUUUGUUUGUUUUCAACCACUGGUCGCCGUGUCCGCUCCAAUCAGGGCUAUCGGCUGUCACCGCGCCGGGAGCAGCUGAUCGAUGGUUUUUAAGUAGAUUUCCAGUCUGGACACACAACUUGUCGAGGUAGUUUUUCCUCAGAGGGACUGAAUCCAAAGCUCAGGACUGCCAAGACAGUCCGGACAAGAGAAAACGGUUCCUUUCAAUCGGAGUUCAAUCCAAGACGAACAGAAGAGAGUCGACUACAAAUCAAGUCCCCCACACUCAGGCUUCCUUUGAGUUUCCUGGAUCAGCAAAAACCAGAUCUCAAACCACAGAUCAUGGAACAAAGACGGUGGUUAUCAACGAAGCUUUUCUUUGUCCUCAUAAAGACGCCGGACGAUGAGCCAAAUAGUGACAGUCGAGGAAAGAGCGACCACCAAUCAGCUCCUUUAACUCCUCGGUUUAGGUCUCUGUUUCAAUGAGGUUGGAGAGACUCUUUAAGUCCAGGAACCUCCAGUCCAGGGUUUCCAAGAUGAGAUGUUCACUGUCCCAACAUUAAUGUUGACGGCCUCGUGAGUCACCCCCUUCACCUCAACUUUCUAGUUAAACUAGAUAGUGGAGGUAAACAUAUGUAACACGAUGGACAGAAGAGUUAGGCGGUAUGACGGUAUAUACUGUGUGGUGACGUACCUGUUAUUCACUCGCAGCCUCAGCUAGUUUUUGUUUGUCCACUGAGUGUCCAUUUGUUACUUGCUCCAUUAAGUUUAAGACAAUCAAAGUUCUGUAGGCAGAAAAGACUCGAUUUGGAUAUACCAAUCCGUUUAUUCUUUUGCACCAUAAACCAAUCAAUCCAAAACAAAUUCCAGCCGCCAGCCUGUGGUCCCAAAAACAAAAGGCUUCUUGGGCGCAAUAUGGUCGAUUUCAUAGAUGCAAAGGUGCAAAAAUGAACUUCACGAAGACAGAAUCAAGCUGGCAGCCUCUCGCAGGAUUUAUUAUCGUUCCAGCAUCAACCACAGCUCAUGACAAUCAGACGGACAGCAGAAGCCAAA